rnacentral:lncRNA from 1 species
UUAUUACAUUACUUUGUUUGGUUUAUUUUUACUUCAAUUUCAAUUUCUUAAUUCUUACAGUGCUCCAUAGCUAUACUCAUGGUGAUUCGAGGCCGGCACAGAGUCAAACGGAGCUAAGUGGAACUCGUGCAUCGUAGUCGUAGGCUCGUAGCUAUGGACAUCAUUUUGUGAUCUAGUUGUGUACUAGACUUUAUCUUUGACAUUUGUUUGAGACUUUGUGUACUAGACUU